rnacentral:rRNA from 1 species
GCCUUACACAUGCAAGUCGAACGGUAACAGGUCUUCGGACGCUGACGAGUGGCGAACGGGUGAGUAAUACAUCGGAACGUGCCCAGUCGUGGGGGAUAACUACUCGAAAGAGUAGCUAAUACCGCAUACGAUCUGAGGAUGAAAGCGGGGGACCUUCGGGCCUCGCGCGAUUGGAGCGGCCGAUGGCAGAUUAGGUAGUUGGUGGGAUAAAAGCUUACCAAGCCGACGAUCUGUAGCUGGUCUGAGAGGACGACCAGCCACACUGGGACUGAGACACGGCCCAGACUCCUACGGGAGGCAGCAGUGGGGAAUUUUGGACAAUGGGCGAAAGCCUGAUCCAGCAAUGCCGCGUGCAGGAUGAAGGCCUUCGGGUUGUAAACUGCUUUUGUACGGAACGAAAAAGCUCCUUCUAAUACAGGGGGCCCAUGACGGUACCGUAAGAAUAAGCACCGGCUAACUACGUGCCAGCAGCCGCGGUAAUACGUAGGGUGCGAGCGUUAAUCGGAAUUACUGGGCGUAAAGCGUGCGCAGGCGGUUAUGUAAGACAGAUGUGAAAUCCCCGGGCUCAACCUGGGAACUGCAUUUGUGACUGCAUGGCUAGAGUACGGUAGAGGGGGAUGGAAUUCCGCGUGUAGCAGUGAAAUGCGUAGAUAUGCGGAGGAACACCGAUGGCGAAGGCAAUCCCCUGGACCUGUACUGA